rnacentral:rRNA from 1 species
UAAAACGACUCUCGGCAACGGAUAUCUCGGCUCUCGCAUCGAUGAAGAACGUAGCGAAAUGCGAUACUUGGUGUGAAUUGCAGAAUCCCGUGAACCAUCGAGUCUUUGAACGCAAGUUGCGCCCGAAGCCUUCGGGCCGAGGGCACGUCUGCCUGGGCGUCACGCAUCGCGUCU